UACGUAGGGGGCAAGCGUUGUCCGGAAUUAUUGGGCGUAAAGAGCGUGUAGGCGGCCAGAUAAGUCCGCUGUGAAAUCUCGAGGCUCAACUUCGAGCUGUCGGUGGAAACUAUCUGGCUAGAGUCCGGAAGAGGAGAAUGAAUUCCUGGUGUAGCGGUGAAAUGCGCAGAUAUCAGGAAGAACACCCGUGGCGAAGGCGGUUCUCUGGGACGGUACUGACGCUGAGACGCGAAAGCGUGGGGAGCGAACAGG
rnacentral:rRNA from 1 species